rnacentral:rRNA from 1 species
GAGAGUUUGAUCCUGGCUCAGGAUGAACGCUAGCGGCAGGCUUAACACAUGCAAGUCGAGGGGUAACGGGGAAGCUUGCUUCCGCCGACGACCGGCGCACGGGUGCGUAACGCGUAUACAAUCUACCUUGUACUGGGGUAUAGCCUUUAGAAAUGAAGAUUAACCCCCCAUAGUCUCUUAGAGUGGCAUCACUUCUAGAGUAAAGGUUACGGUAUAAGAUGAGUAUGCGUUCUAUUAGUUUGUUGGUGUGGUAACGGCACACCAAGACUACGAUAGAUAGGGGCCCUGAGAGGGGGAUCCCCCACACUGGUACUGAGACACGGACCAGACUCCUACGGGAGGCAGCAGUGAGGAAUAUUGGACAAUGGAGGCAACUCUGAUCCAGCCAUGCCGCGUGCAGGAAGACUGCCCUAUGGGUUGUAAACUGCUUUUAUACAGGAAGAAACACCUCUACGUGUAGAGGCUUGACGGUACUGUAAGAAUAAGGAUCGGCUAACUCCGUGCCAGCAGCCGCGGUAAUACGGAGGAUCCAAGCGUUAUCCGGAAUCAUUGGGUUUAAAGGGUCCGUAGGUGGAUAAUUAAGUCAGAGGUGAAAUCUUGCAGCUCAACUGUAAAAUUGCCUUUGAAACUGGUUAUCUUGAGUUAUUAUGAAGUAGUUAGAAUAUGUAGUGUAGCGGUGAAAUGCAUAGAUAUUACAUAGAAUACCAAUUGCGAAGGCAGAUUACUAAUAAUCAACUGACACUGAUGGACGAAAGCGUGGGUAGCGAACAGGAUUAGAUACCCUGGUAGUCCACGCCGUAAACGAUGGUUACUAGCUGUUUGGACUUCGGUCUGAGUGGCUAAGCGAAAGUGAUAAGUAACCCACCUGGGGGGUACGUUCGCAAGAAUGAAACUCAAAGGAAUUGACGGGGGCCCGCACAAGCGGUGGAGCAUGUGGUUUAAUUCGAUGAUACGCGAGGAACCUUACCAGGGCUUAAAUGUAAGUUGCAUUAGUUAGAGAUAGCUAUUUCUUCGGACCACUUACAAGGUGCUGCAUGGUUGUCGUCAGCUCGUGCCGUGAGGUGUCAGGUUAAGUCCUAUAACGAGCGCAACCCCUGUUGUUAGUUGCCAGCGAGUCAUGUCGGGAACUCUAGCAAGACUGCCAGUGCAAACUGUGAGGAAGGUGGGGAUGACGUCAAAUCAUCACGGCCCUUACGUCCUGGGCUACACACGUGCUACAAUGGUAGGUACAGAGAGCAGCCACUGCGCGAGCAGGAGCGAAUCUACAAAACCUAUCACAGUUCGGAUCGGAGUCUGCAACUCGACUCCGUGAAGCUGGAAUCGCUAGUAAUCGGAUAUCAGCCAUGAUCCGGUGAAUACGUUCCCGGGCCUUGUACACACCGCCCGUCAAGCCAUGGAAGUUGGAAGUGCCUGAAGUCCGUCACCGUAAGGAGCGGCCUAGGGUAAAGUCGAUAACUAGGGCUAAGUCGUAACAAGGUA